CCUAAGUCCAGGGGCUCCCUGCACGCCAGUGUUACCAAGAAUACCCUGGAUGCCCUGAGCACCCGGAAGCCCCGGCUCGCCUGGUUCACCCUGGAGGAAGAGGAGGACCAGCCUGGCCUUCUGGACCUCUGUGGCCAAUGCCUGGCUCUCCCUAAAAACCCAAAACAACAUGUCAAUGACAUAUUUCACUGGAAUUUAUUUUAAGUAAAAACACAACCACCUGAUUUUGUCUGUUCUGUUGAAAACGUAAAUGAUUACAGCUGAAAAGUAUUUACCUUUUGUCCAUUUUCACCAAUUUCCCCCUGAAAAGUGUAUAAAAAAGAGUAAAUACCAGCUACAAAGUGCAUCUCACCACAAUGUUUUUCAUGAGCCAAAAUAAUUGAUAAAAAAAAGCAGAAUUGUCA